rnacentral:sRNA from 1 species
GAAUGGACAAUGUAAGCAACCUGUCUCCUCAGCUGGUCUGGCCUGGUGGUUCCUUCCCUCCCUCCUUGAGCUUCCCUUGGUCAGAGAGGUGGCCCUUCUACAUGAAGAAGGCUCGUUCUUGGACCCAGGGCAUGUGAGCCGCUGCACUUGCUUCUUUAUGAAUUUCCCAGUAAACUCAAGGUCCCUCCAUAAGAGAGGGAAGAAAUAGCCAAGCUUCCAAGAACAAGAGAUCAUAUUGUACAAAAAAGGCUCAUA